rnacentral:rRNA from 1 species
UACGAAGGGGACUAGCGUUGUUCGGAAUCACUGGGCGUAAAGCGCACGUAGGCGGAUUUGUAAGUCAGGGGUGAAAUCCCGGGGCUCAACCUCGGAACUGCCUUUGAUACUGCGAAUCUUGAGUCCGAUAGAGGUGGGUGGAAUUCCUAGUGUAGAGGUGAAAUUCGUAGAUAUUAGGAAGAACACCAGUGGCGAAGGCGGCCCACUGGAUCGGGUACUGACGCUGAGGUGCGAAAGCGUGGGGAGCAAACAGGGAUUAAGAUACCCCCGU